rnacentral:tRNA from 2 species
GCGGUAAUAGCUCAGUUGGUAGAGCACUAGCUUCCCAAGCUGGGGGUCGCGAGUUCGAACCUCGUUUACCGCU